rnacentral:rRNA from 1 species
GACGAACGCUGGCGGCGUGCCUAAUACAUGCAAGUAGAACGCUGAAGGAGGAGCUUGCUUCUCCGGAUGAGUUGCGAACGGGUGAGUAACGCGUAGGUAACCUGUCUGGUAGCGGGGGAUAACUAUUGGAAACGAUAGCUAAUACCGCAUAAGAGUAGAUGUUGCAUGACAUUUGCUUAAAAGGUGCAAUUGCAUCACUACCAGAUGGACCUGCGUUGUAUUAGCUAGUUGGUGGGGUAACGGCUCACCAAGGCGACGAUACAUAGCCGACCUGAGAGGGUGAUCGGCCACACUGGGACUGAGACACGGCCCAGACUCCUACGGGAGGCAGCAGUAGGGAAUCUUCGGCAAUGGACGGAAGUCUGACCGAGCAACGCCGCGUGAGUGAAGAAGGUUUUCGGAUCGUAAAGCUCUGUUGUAAGAGAAGAACGAGUGUGAGAGUGGAAAGUUCACACUGUGACGGUAUCUUACCAGAAAGGGACGGCUAACUACGUG